UACGUAGGGUGCAAGCGUUGUCCGGAAUUAUUGGCGUAAAGAGCUCGUAGGCGGUUUGUCGCGUCUGCCGUGAAAAUUCGAGGCUCAACCUCGAACUUGCGGUGGGUACGGGCAGACUAGAGUGUGGUAGGGGAGACUGGAAUUCCUGGUGUAGCGGUGAAAUGCGCAGAUAUCAGGAGGAACACCGGUGGCGAAGGCGGGUCUCUGGGCCGAUAUUGACGCUGAGGAGCGAAAGCGUGGGGAGCGAACAGG
rnacentral:rRNA from 1 species